GGGGGAAAAUUAAUAAUAUAAUUAUAAUAAAAAAAAUUUUAAUAUUAAAAAGAAAUAAUGGGGGUUUAAGUAUUUUUAAUAGAAAAAAUUAAUAUUUUUAUAGUUAAAUAUUACUGUAAAGGAAUUUAUAAAUAAAUGAAAAAUAAUUAAUUUAAAAGUAAAUUUAAAUUAUUGUAUCUUGUGUAUCAGAGUUUAUUAAAUAAUAAAAAUUUAUUUAAAUAAAUCUCGAAUUUAAAAGAGUUAAUUAAUUAAAAAAGUUAAUGUUGAAUAAUUAUUUUUAAUAAUUAAUUAGAAAUGAAAUGUUAAUCGUUUUUAAAUAUAUCUAGUUUUUUUAGAAAAAAAUUUAAUUUUAUAUUUAAAUAAUUUUAUAAUUAUUUAAUUAAUUAUAAAAAUUUAAAAUUUAAUAUUUUGGGGGAUAAGCUUUAAAUUAAAAAUUUAUAAUAAAAAUUAAUUUAAAUUAAAAUUUUUAAUAUUUAUAUUGUUUAAAAAUUAUAGUUUAUUAUAAAAAAUUUUAAUUAAUAAUAAAAUUUAAAUAAAAAUUUAAAUUUUUAUAAAAAAAAUAAUUUUUAAUAAGAAAAAAUUAGAAAUAAUGAUAAAAUUAGUAUAAUUAAUAAAUUAAAUUAAAAUUAAUAUUGAGUUAAAUUAAAGGAAUUCGGCAAAAAUUUAUAUUCACUUGUUUAUCAAAAACAUGUCUUUUUGAUAAUAAUUUAAAGUCUAAUCUGCCCACUGAUAGUAUAUUAAAGGGCUGCAGUAUAUUGACUGUACAAAGGUAGCAUAAUCAUUAGUCUUUUAAUUGAAGACUUGUAUGAAAGAUUUGAUGAAAUAUAAACUGUCUCUAAUUUAUAAUUAGAAAUUAAUUUUUUAGUUAAAAAGCUAAAAUAAUAUUAAAAGACGAGAAGACCCUAUAGAGUUUUAUAUUUUAUUUAUUUAUUAUUAAAUAUAAAAUUAAAUAUAAUUAAUUAAAUAAAAUAUUUUAUUGGGGUGAUAGAAAAAUUUAAUAAACUUUUUUUAUUUAAUUUACAUUAAUAAGUGAUUAAUUGAUCCAUUUUUAGUGAUUACAAGAAAAAAUUACCUUAGGGAUAACAGCGUAAUAUUUUUUUUUAGUACAAAUAAAAAAAAGAGAUUGCGACCUCGAUGUUGGAUUAAGAUAAAAUUUAAAUGCAAAAGUUUAAAAUUUUGAUCUGUUCGAUCAUUAAAAUCUUACAUGAUCUGAGUUCAAACCGGUGUAAGCCAGGUUGGUUUCUAUCUUUAAUAAAAUAAAAUAUUUUAGUACGAAAGGAUCAAAUAUUUAAAAUAAUUUUAUUUUAAAUGAAUAUUAAUAAAAUAGUUUUA
rnacentral:rRNA from 1 species